UACGUAGGGGCCGAGCGUUGUCCGGAGUUACUGGGCGUAAAGCGCGCGCAGGCGGCUCGUCAAGCCUGACGUGAAAGCCCCCGGCUCAACCGGGGAGGGUCGUCGGGGACUGGCGGGCUUGAGGUCGGCAGGGGUUGGUGGAAUUCCCGGUGUAGUGGUGAAAUGCGUAGAGAUCGGGAGGAACACCCGUGGCGAAGGCGGCCAGCUGGGCCGGACCUGACGCUGAGGCGCGAAGGCGUGGGGAGCGAACGGG
rnacentral:rRNA from 1 species